GACGGGGCCCGCACAAGCGGUGGAGCAUGUGGUUUUAAUUCGAAGCAACGCGCAGAACCUUACCAGCCCUUGACAUCCCGGUCGCGGAUCGCAGAGAUGCUUUCCUUCAGUUCGGCUGGACCGGUGACAGGUGCUGCAUGGCUGUCGUCAGCUCGUGUCGUGAGAUGUUGGGUUAAGUCCCGCAACGAGCGCAACCCCCGCCUUCAGUUGCCAACGGUUCGGCCGUGCACUCUGGAGGAACUGCCUGUGACAAGCAGGAGGAAGGUGGGGAUGACGUCAAGUCCUCAUGGCCCUUAUGGGCUGGGCUACACACGUGCUACAAUGGCGGUGACAGAGGGAUGCAAUACCGCGAGGUGGAGCAAAUCCCUAAAAGCCGUCUCAGUUCGGAUUGUUCUCUGCAACUCGAGAGCAUGAAGUUGGAAUCGCUAGUAAUCGCAGAUCAGCUCGCUGCGGUGAAUACGUUCCCGGGCCUU
rnacentral:rRNA from 1 species